GACGAACGCUGGCGGCGUGCUUAACACAUGCAAGUCGAACGGAAAGGCCCUGCUUUUGUGGGGUGCUCGAGUGGCGAACGGGUGAGUAACACGUGAGUAACCUGCCCGUGACUUUGGGAUAACUUCAGGAAACUGGGGCUAAUACCGGAUAGGAGCUCCUGCUGCAUGGUGGGGGUUGGAAAGUUUCGGCGGUUGGGGAUGGACGCGCGGCUUAUCAGCUUGUUGGUGGGGUAGUGGCUUACCAAGGCUUUGACGGGUAGCCGGCCUGAGAGGGUGACCGGCCACAUUGGGACUGAGAUACGGCCCAGACUCCUACGGGAGGCAGCAGUGGGGAAUAUUGCACAAUGGGCGGAAGCCUGAUGCAGCAACGCCGCGUGCGGGAUGACGGCCUUCGGGUUGUAAACCGCUUUCGCCUGUGACGAAGCGUGAGUGACGGUAAUGGGUAAAGAAGCACCGGCUAACUACGUG
rnacentral:rRNA from 1 species